GCCAAGUUCAACUUGGGCCGGCCCGGGUCCCGGCCAGAAACCACCCGACACACAGCGGUUGUACUUUCUAGACUCUGGAGUUGACGUACAAACGGAUACGGCGGCGCGCAAGAAAAGUGCCCCGCUUGAUUCCAGCACCUGCAGCUAACAGCAGAGUGACAGUAUGGACGCUACCUCCUGCCGUCGGGAAUCAUGGGUGCCCCGCGUCGCGCGUUCUAGUCAACGCGGUUCUGGAAGCCUCGCCAGAGCAAUAAGACAAGAAAAAGGAGUAAGGGUUACAAAGGUUGGAAAGAAGUAGAACCAUCGUUAUUUGUAGGUGAUACGACUGUAAACACGGGAAAUAGGAAAUGAUUCGCAGCCACGUUAUUAGAACGAGUAACUGAAUUUAGCAAGGUCGUUGAGCACAGUGAUAAAAAUCCGUUGUAUUUCUGUA